CCAGGCGUAUGGGUCGGUGUCGGGUGUGUGUGUACGUAUGUGUGUGUAAUGAAACUGGAUGCCUUCCUUCCCGGCGAUCUUGACUUAACCUGUCAGCAGAGGGCUUGAGGUUAGACCACAGGUUGAACCUAGGUGGCUGCUGGAGAGGCUCCCAGGAGCCCCUCUGUGGAAGCCUCCUUAGCCUGGGCUCGAACGAGGAUUCUCCUUCCUUCCUGUAAGGAGUUCUCAGGGUCACCUCAUUGCCCAAGAUGGCUGCUGGAGCCCCAGCCAGCAGGAAGGAAGAAGAAAGCCUGAAGAAGGACAUGCCCCUUCCCUUCAAGGAAACGUCCUAGAAGUCACACACUUAUAUUCCAUUGGCCAGAACUCAGUCAUCUAGCCACACCUAGCUGCAAGGGAAGCUGGGUAGUAUAGUCUUUAUUCCAUGGGGGUCUGGCUAAAAGUUGGGGAAUAAACGAAGAAUGGAUAUUAGGA